GGAGAAUGUGUCACUCCUUAUGUGUGUACAUCUGAGAGAACCUUCACCAAGACUUGUCUCUGCCCUAGCGACACGUACUUCAAUGCGUCUCAUUGUCUGACUCACGGCACUGUGCAGGCUGCAGUUUCCAGUGACUCCCAGGUCAAAACAGAUUCAAUACUUCUAAAAUGGACCACGCAAACAUGGAAGUCUAAUUUAUUGUUCACCGUUGAAUGGGGACAAAUGUAUGUUUUGACAAAUGCAAGUGAACUCUACAUAGAUGGUCUGUCACCUGGAAGUGUCUACAAUUUUACUAUCACCACAAACAUACCAGGAGAUGAUUAUUACAAUAAUAAAUCUGUACAGUCUAAAUUAGCUAUAUUAACAAAACAAGCUCCAGGCAAUACCUGCAGCAGCUAUUACAAAUGUUCUGACGAGUCAAGUUGUGUCAAUGGAGUCUGUGUUUGUUUGGGCCACUAUUAUCUAAACACUUUGUCCAAAUCUUGUGA
rnacentral:sRNA from 1 species